rnacentral:rRNA from 1 species
GACGAACGCUGGCGGCGUGCUUAACACAUGCAAGUCGAACGGAAAGGCCCUGCUUUUGUGGGGUGCUCGAGUGGCGAACGGGUGAGUAACACGUGAGUAACCUGCCCCUGACUUUGGGAUAACUUCAGGAAACUGGGGCUAAUACCGGAUAGGAGCUCCUGCUGCAUGGUGGGGGUUGGAAAGUUUCGGCGGUUGGGGAUGGACUCGCGGCUUAUCAGCUUGUUGGUGGGGUAGUGGCUUACCAAGGCUUUGACGGGUAGCCGGCCUGAGAGGGUGACCGGCCACAUUGGGACUGAGAUACGGCCCAGACUCCUACGGGAGGCAGCAGUGGGGAAUAUUGCGCAAUGGGCGGAAGCCUGAUGCAGCAACGCCGCGUGCGGGAUGACGGCCUUCGGGUUGUAAACCGCUUUCGCCUGUGACGAAGCGUGAGUGACGGUAAUGGGUAAAGAAGCACCGGCUAACUACGUG